rnacentral:tRNA from 1 species
GUGGGUAUAGCUCAGUGGCAGAGUGCAUGCUUAGCAUGCACAAGGUCCUGGGUUCAAUCCUCAGUACUUUCA